rnacentral:lncRNA from 1 species
GGCGGGCCUUCCGGUGCUGGCGGCGGGGCUGUGGCGUGUGCCUUGCGUGGGGCCCGAGCGCCCAACUGGUGGCAGGCUCCGGGCGCCCGGCGGCAGGCGGUCUGUGCGGGUUGCGUUGUGUCCGGUGGACAGGCGGCAGCCGUGGGGCGGGGUUUGGGGCAGGCAGGCCUCCGGUGUCCCCAGAGUGCCCCGGGGAGACCUGCCUGAGGGACCCAGGUCCCGCGCGCCAGGGGGCCUGGUGUGGCGGGCCUGGAGGGUGAAGGGCGAGCGACCCGAGCCCACAGCCUGGCGGCAGGGGACGCCCCUGGCCAUUGGCGGUCAGGGCGAGGUGCGGCCCUGCGGGGUCUCGCACAGGCUCCAGGGCCCUUGGGGUCCCGGAGGGUCCAGCAGAAGGGUCUGUGUUUUGCCCGGGGUCCUGAGAGCGUGCUGGGGAUAGCAGGGGUGGAGUGCAGGUGUGCCCAUGGGCGCCCCGGGUCCAGGGCCCGCGGAGCCGCUCUCGGGGCGGAGACCUUGCCCCCAGGGGCACGUCAGCGGUCCUGAGGUGAGGCUCCUGCAGAGCACUCUGGGCCGCGUGUGUCUCUCCCUGCGUGGGCAGGCAGUGUCGGUGGCCGGAGCGAGGGUGUUUUCCCAUCGGGGUGAGAGGGAGAGCCCCAGGGUGGGCCUGGGGGCGGAAUCGGACUCGGGGUUGGGGUGGACUCUUCUGAAGCUGGGAGGGGUGCGGGUGGGCAGGGCCUUAGGGAGCCUGAGGGAGGCGCGGUUCCUGGGGGAAGGGUGUGGCGAGGCGGCGGCAGCCCGCGUGGCGCUGUGGCGCCCCAGCGAAGGGGCAGUGCUGGCCACUCGUGUGGCCCUUUGGCUGCUGGCACCCAGUGAGAGGGGGGAGGCCAGGGACAGGUGGCAGCCAGGCUGCCCACAGGCCCUGGGCGGUGGGGGGCCCGGCCCCUGUGCCUUGGGCAGCCUGAGCCUUGCUGAGGCGUGCUUGGGCGUGUCCGUUGUCGCCCUCACCCAGCUGCUGUGGCGGAGAGACGGAGGCCAGCGCGGGGAGCGGAAGCCGGAGCCUGUCGGGAGCGACCCCGGGAAGGCCAGUCCCUCCUGCCGGAGGGAGGCGUGUUGGCGUGCGGCCGGUGGCGGGAUCGAUGGCCACCUGCUGCUGCGGCGGAGAGACGGAGGCCAGCGCGGGGAGCGGAAGCCGGAGCCUGUCGGGAGCGACCCCGGGAAGGCCAGUCCCUCCUGCCGGUGGGAGGCGUGUUGGCGUGCGGCCGGUGGCGGGAUCGAUGGCCACCUGGUAGGCGAUGGUAAGCGGCAGUGGCCUGCGCCAAGGUAGCCCCCGGGGGGCGGUGUGUGGCGCCCGGACCCGCACCUCUGCUCCCGGGGGUGGAGCUGACCUGCUUGCCCGCGGUUGGGCUCGGGAGCCUGCGGGCCGCGGCCAGGAGGGAGCUGGCUGGCCGUCCCGGCGGUGGGGGCUGUGGCGGUGGCCGUCCCGCGGGUGUGCCCGUGCUCGGAUCGAUGAUGACACCCACAAACGCAUUCCUUGGAAAAUCUGAACAAAAUGAGUGAGAACUCACUACCGUCUCCUCAUCGCAAACUGAGGUCCGGCACGUGGCUCCCACAGGGGACGUCGGGGGAGGGUCCCGUUGCCUUGGCUCCCUUGGGUGCGUGCAGCCCUGGGGCGCAGGUGGGGGCAGGCAGGCCUCCGGUGGCCCCGGGGCCCCGGGCCCGGCGGGAAAGCCUUGGGAGUGGCAGGCCCAGUGUGGGGUGGGCUGCCUGCGGUGUGUGUGAGCGCCGCUGGGCUCUCAGGCCUGCGGCUGCCUCCUUGAGGCCUCCGCGGGGUCCUGCCCGCGGUGUCGGGCGCAGAGGGUGUCUGUAGGUUGCGGGUGAGCAGCGGGGGCCUUGGCCUCGGCGGGACUGCCGACCCAGGUUCUGGUGGGGAGAGAGGAGGCCGGCCGGGGGGCCUUGCCGAGAUGGCCGUUUGGGCGGGGUCGGACGCCUUGGCCUGGGCCUUCACGGGGUCGGCGGGGCUGCCAGUGCCUUUCCCUCGCAGAGUCCUUGGUGGUCAUCGAGAACCCUGGAGCCCCUGCGGCAUUUCCCAGAGACGUGGAGGCGGUGGGGCGCCAGGUGGCCCUGGGCGGUGCCGAGUCGGCCGCGGACUGGGGUCGAGAGAAGUGCAGGAGGGCCAGAGGUCCUGGGCCAGUGUGCGCAGAGCACCGUGAGGGGGAGUGUUGGGUGCCCGGGGCGGCAGUGCCUUCAGGGCGGCCUGGGCUAUGAUGUGGGAUAUCCUCAGAGAUUUGGGCGGCGCGUGGAAGGCAGGACGGAGGGGUCCCGGG